rnacentral:rRNA from 1 species
GACGAACGCUGGCGGCGCGCCUAACACAUGCAAGUUGAACGAGCAAAGAGGAGCUUGCUUCUCUGAGCGAGUGGCGAACGGGUGAGUAACGCGUGAGGAACCUGCCUCAAAGAGGGGGACAACAGUUGGAAACGACUGCUAAUACCGCAUAAGCCCACGGGUCGGCAUCGACCAGAGGGAAAAGGAGCAAUCCGCUUUGAGAUGGCCUCGCGUCCGAUUAGCUAGUUGGUGAGGUAAUGGCCCACCAAGGCGACGAUCGGUAGCCGGACUGAGAGGUUGAACGGCCACAUUGGGACUGAGACACGGCCCAGACUCCUACGGGAGGCAGCAGUGGGGAAUAUUGCACAAUGGGGGAAACCCUGAUGCAGCGACGCCGCGUGGAGGAAGAAGGUCUUCGGAUUGUAAACUCCUGUUGU